AAUUUCUCAAACUUGCCAGACAGAUUCAGGCACUCCUCCCUUUGGGGAAGAGUGAAACAAAAGGACAGAUGUUGAAUGCAGAAGAAGGAGGGGGCAUGGAGCCCCCUAGGAAUUGUCAGGUCAAAGCUCUAUGCAUUGUUUUACAGAUUCAAUGAGAUAAUAAAGUGAUUUAUUUAGCCAAAAGUUUUUUGAGAAGACCAGGUCCCUGCCCUUCUGGAGCUUACCAUCUAUCGGAAGGGAGUAAGCUGUCCUGCAACGUAGGGAGGCAAUGGACUCUCUGUGGAAAAGGAUCUUGGUUUCCAGUUCACGAGUGGGGCUAAGAGAAGUCACUCUAGCCUUCAACUGCAUCUGACAAAAUGAAUCAGCCCCCGAAUUCCAUGCCAGACAGUUCAGCUGACAGAAGGAACUGAAUGUGACCUAGUCUGCUUGCUAUUUCUAGGGAAAUGGAGUCAGAAUUUUUAGAGUACAGAGAAGAGAACCUUCACCUGUUAAAGUAUUUUGCACGGGAGAGAAACCCUUCAUUGUGUGACUAAAUCAAUGGAGAUUAUCUUCUCAGUUGGAAUUUCCCUUUGUCUGCACGUGUAUUCCGCCAACAUCUGCUCCUACCUUCACUGUAGUCGAUGAGUUCUCAAGUGAAGGACUGGAUUCAAGGUAAUGCUGAAUCCUAGACAGAGGCUACUCUGUAGAUACUGAUUUCAUGGCCUUUGACUCAAUCUGAGGUCAGUCAUUGACCCGCACAUCGCGCUCAAUGCCAUGGAUUGACAUGAGCUCCUGGUGGUGUGGUUCUCACUAGCUUGAAUUUUGUGAAGCUUAGG
ensembl:lncRNA